GUCCUAGCCGUAAACGAUGGGCACUAAGUAGAGGGGUUUUGAUUAUCUCUCUGCCGGAGCUAACGCAUUAAGUGCCCCGCCUGGGGAGUACGGCCGCAAGGCUAAAACUCAAAAGAAUUGACGGGGGCUCGCACAAGCGGUGGAGCAUGUGGCUUAAUUCGAUGCAACGCGAAGAACCUUACCGGGGUUUGACAUGGUAGAAGUAGGAGCCUGAAAGGGUAACGAACGGUAUCCAGUCCGUGACUAUCACAGGUGUUGCAUGGCUGUCGU
rnacentral:rRNA from 1 species